ACCCUGUGAUAUAGCUUCUCCUAUUUAUUCCCCAGGCACAGUUAAGGAAAUCUGCAUAGACAGAGAUGGAAAUAUGGUGGUCUCCAUCAUUUGAAACUUCAUCCCACGAAGCUGUGCUCGGACCAAGGUUCUCAACCACUGCCCUCCUGCUCCUUCUGCCUGAGGCUGUAUUUUCUGCUCUUUACUAUAAAUGUCUUAAUUAUACACAAUGUGCUUUUUGUCAAAGGCACAAACAUUAAAUGAAAUGUAGCUGGAUAUAGCCAUAUUUUGAUUACUUUACAAUAGUUUGCUCCAUUUAGGUUUUGCUUACAGUUUCAAUGAGUUAAGGCAUCUAUCUUUCAUCACUUGACUUCAUAUUAUUUUUAGAUCCUUGAGUUUCUUCUGCUUGCCUUUUGUCCUUCUGGGGACUCUUAAAAGCUGUAAAGGGGGAGUUAGUGAUACAUGUGUCCAGAGUUAUGGAGAAUGACCAAAUUUAGGAAUAAUACAACAUAUGUCCCACCUCUCCUGUAGACACACACACACAAAUGCUCACACACUCACAAUUACAACUGUGCAUCUAUGUGCAUGUGUGGGCAUGUGUGUGCACACUUGCACACUCAAACAAACACACAAACACACACACAUUCUUAGUUUGUGCUUUGGAACAUGUGACUUCAGCAUUCUUGUUCUUGCAUUCAAGUGGCUGUGUCAUGUGUAAUUGCAGGAGUAGAAAAUUCAUAUGGAGUGAUGUCUGUUACAUGAAUCAGCAACGAAUCUUACUGUGCCUAAAUUUCCUGCAUUGUUAAGCUUUUUACUAUUCUAAAAGGAUAUCUUAUAUCAUUGAUGUAUUUGUAAGAUUGACUUAUGUAGCUCAUAGUUUGGAAAGUUACAGUUCAUCAUCAGGUAGACCCAUUCCUUUGGCCUAAUGCUGGGGAGCCCAGAGGGCAGUGGUGGAGCCAAACUGAUCACCUCAGGAGGCUAUCAGCAAGGUUAGGAAAGGGCUCCAAGAUCCCUUUAAUAGACACAAUCCUACUCACCUUUCACUACCAGACCCCACCACACCUAAAGGCAGUACCACAUCCCAUUAGCAAAUCCUCGGGACCAAGACUUUAACACCUGAUCUUUUGGGGGACUGGUUCUAAAACUCCCUAAAGUCCUUAGAGUUUUAGACAAAAUGGGGAUUGGAUAGUGGUAGUAUGGUCCUCAGAUUUCAGGAAUCAAUAUGUCAAAGAUCAGUUGUGUGUGUGUGUGCAUGUGUGAAUGUGUGUGUGUGUGUGUGUUUGUGAGCAUGCUUGUGUGUGUAUUACUAUAGAUGAACCCUGGCUAGUCAAGUACUCAGCCAGGUAAUCUAAGCCACCCAUCCCUAAGUAACAGAAGUUGGAAACUCAUUCCCUUGAAAGGUUUUAAAAAGUAAAGUUUGGAAAUGACUAUCUCUGAGGUCCUAUGAGGAACACUUGUGCACUGGAACAUGAAGUGGAGGAUUAAGAGUGCUACAGUGUUCUGGCAGGAGUCAUCAAUUCCUUCACACUAAGGAGUGACAAUGACCCCACCUCAAGAAACCUAAGGGGCAUUGCUUUACUGAAUCAGUCCCGAUUCACUUCUGAGCCACCCUGGGAUGCUUAUAUUGAUUGCCACCCUCCUGCAUCAGAGACGACUCCUCCUGUUGGCACAGUGUGGAUUGGCAACUGCAGUCAGUUUUGUUGGUAGUCUCUGUCUCUGUGGCAUCAUAGCUUAUCUAAUUUUGCUUUGGCUUUGAAUUAUUUGGAUUAUUGAGCUUUGUGAGCUUCAGCAGUCAUAUUUUGAGCUCAUUUGUUGAAAUACUUUCUGCUUUAGAUACAAAUUGAAAAUAAGAUGUACUGUUAUCACACUUACUAGCUCUUCUAAUGACUUAAUGUGAAUAAACUUCCUCCCCAAAGGAGCUCAGACCUAUGUUAAAAGUGGUAUCCCUAGUUUUACUUGAUAUACAAUUCUAUGUGGUAGGCACUAACUUUUCCUCAUUCGACCUUACACCAGCCAUCGAGAAUGCAUUACUUUUAAAACGUCACUAACUUUUCUAUCUUCAUGAGUAACCAUAACUACAGAGAUAUGGGAGAAUACAAAGAAACUUGCCUGCCCUAUAUUUCUCUCCUUUUUGUAAUCAAAAUAUAUAUCAAGAAGAACAUGUAAAUAUUAAAAUUGUCAUUGUGGAUCUAGUAGACAUUGAGCAAAGGAGUUAGUAUUUUUUUUGAAUAAAAAAUUC
rnacentral:lncRNA from 1 species